GCCGGGCGUGGUGAAGCACACCUGUAAUCCAGUGGCUCCAGAGGCUGAGGCAGGAGGAUCUCGGGUUCAAAGCCAGCCUCAGCAAUUUAACAAGGCUAUAAGCAUCCUAGAGACACCCUGUCUCCA
rnacentral:sRNA from 1 species